rnacentral:lncRNA from 1 species
AUGUCCUGGCUAACGAGGGGAGGGAAAUCGAAGGAGAAAGAGGAGGUGGAAAGCUCCUCCAGCCACGAGGAGAGGGGGCUGCUGGUGCAGGCCAUGCUGGAGCACGGGGGAGACCCGUGGGACUGUAAGGUCAUUGGGCAGGACCCCACCCUGAGAGCUGCGGAGAGGCACUGGCAGAACUACGUGUCCGUCUGCCACCCCAAGGGGGAGAAGAAGUGCUCGGCCCUGCAGUGGCUGUUGUUCGAUCUGGCCCGGGUCUUGCAGGCAGCGGUGGAAGAGAAGGAGCAGUGUAUCGAGAACCUGCAAAACAAUCUGCAGGUGGCUCGCAAGGAGGUCCUGGCGCUGCGGUGCGACAGCUCGCUGCUGAGCGAGCAGGCCGAGGAGCUGCGCAAGCUGAGGGAAGAGCUGAGGGCUGAGGCGGUCGAGAACGCCCAGCUGAGAAGCAAGGUGCAGUGCUUGCGCACCCUGCUGUCGCUGGGCAAGGGUUUGGAUCAGAGGAUGGUGGCGGCUCUCGGGAAGACCAACUGGGACCCGGAGGUGUGGAAUGGGGACGGCUGGAGUUUGGAGGAGCAGAAAGAGUCGUCGGUGCAAGGAGUGGGUGCUGCGGGCACUAGGAAAGUAAAGCCGGUGGAGGGAGAUGGAGACCAGGGAGAGGGGGAUAUGUCCAGGAAGGAGAAGAUGUGGAAGAAACGGAAGGAAGCGUGGCCUGUGUGGGUCAAUCGAAUGUGGACCUUGGAGCAGUGCACUCCCUUCACGCACGAGGGGGCGAAGCAGGUGGUGACCGCCAUUGGGCUGCCGUGGCCCAGGGUGGGGGCUGUUAUCAGAGCCCUGCCUGCCGAUGAGGUGUUGGGGGGGGAGAUCUUAAGGCUGGUGAUAAGAAAUUUGGGAGAGUACGAGCCUCUCAAAGAUAACAUGGAGGGGGCGCCCUGGAGAGAUGUCCAGGAGGCGUCAGCCUACAUGUGUGGGAAUGUCUUACUCCGAGUGUUAAAGCAAAGGGAGAAACCAGUGACCCCUGACUUCGACAUCUUUGGGGUGAAUGUGGAGCAGGGGGACGUGGGGUUGCUGGCAAGCCGUGCUCCUGAGCUGCACAAAGGGUUUUUCAUCAGCCUGGGGUCUACUUUAAUUGGCCGCCCCCUUGGUGAAUGUAUGGCUACCUUGGAGAACAUGGGGACCCUGAUGGGAGCUGAGGGGAAAGGGAUGGCAAAGCAAGACGAGAUGGGGGCAAAGGGGAGGAAAUACAUUCCUAGAGGGAAAAUUUGGAGAUAUUUAAUAAGCCAGGGGGUGAAUGAAGGAGAGCUAGAUAGUAAGCCCACAGGAGUUUUACUUGCCAAGAUGAAGAAAAUCCUUCUGGAAAAGGGGAUGAAGCAAGAGGAGAUUUGGGAAAAACUGAGACAGAUGAAUCCAUCAGCUCCUCCCCCUAUUUCUUUAGGGGACCUUAAAGAUUAG